rnacentral:ncRNA from 2 species
AACUGUAAGCGGGGGAACUACUUCGUAGUUGAGAAGGUAAAACCUGACCCUUUGAACCUGUUGGUUAAGACCAACGCAGGGAAGCGAUCAAUAUCAGUGU